GAUGAACGCUGGCGGCGUGCCUAAUACAUGCAAGUCGAGCGAAUGGAUUAAGAGCUUGCUCUUAUGAAGUUAGCGGCGGACGGGUGAGUAACACGUGGGUAACCUGCCCAUAAGACUGGGAUAACUCCGGGAAACCGGGGCUAAUACCGGAUAACAUUUUGAACCGCAUGGUUCGAAAUUGAAAGGCGGCUUCGGCUGUCACUUAUGGAUGGACCCGCGUCGCAUUAGCUAGUUGGUGAGGUAACGGCUCACCAAGGCAACGAUGCGUAGCCGACCUGAGAGGGUGAUCAGCCACACUGGGACUGGAACACGGCCCAGACUCCUACGGGAGGCAGCAGUAGGGAAUCUUCCGCAAUGGACGAAAGUCUGACGGAGCAAUGCCGCGUGAGUGAUGAAGGCUUUCGGGUCGUAAAACUCUGUUGUUAGGGAAGAACAAGUGUUAGUUGAAUAAGCUGGCACCUUGACGGUACCUAACCAGAAAGCCACGGCUAACUACGUGCCAGCCGCCGCCGUAA
rnacentral:rRNA from 1 species